rnacentral:rRNA from 1 species
UGGGGAAUAUUGCACAAUGGGCGAAAGCCUGAUGCAGCGACGCCGCGUGAGGGAUGACGGCCUUCGGGUUGUAAACCUCUUUCAGCAGGGAAGAAGCGAAAGUGACGGUACCUGCAGAAGAAGCGCCGGCUAACUACGUGCCAGCAGCCGCGGUAAUACGUAGGGCGCAAGCGUUGUCCGGAAUUAUUGGGCGUAAAGAGCUCGUAGGCGGUUAGUCGCGUCUGCUGUGAAAACUCGAGGCUCAACCUCGGGCUUGCAGUGGGUACGGGCUGACUAGAGUGCGGUAGGGGUGACUGGAAUUCCUGGUGUAGCGGUGGAAUGCGCAGAUAUCAGGAGGAACACCGAUGGCGAAGGCAGGUCACUGGGCCGCAACUGACGCUGAGGAGCGAAAGCAUGGGGAGCGAACAGGAUUAGAUAGCCCUGGUAGUCCCAUGCCGUAAACGUUGGGCACUAGGUGUGGGGUCCAUUCCACGGAUUCCGUGCCGCAGC